GACGAACGCUGGCGGCGUGCCUAAUACAUGCAAGUUGAGCGCUGAAGGUUGGUACUUGUACCAACUGGAUGAGCAGCGAACGGGUGAGUAACGCGUGGGGAAUCUGCCUUUGAGCGGGGGACAACAUUUGGAAACGGAUGCUAAUACCGCAUAAAAACUUUAAACACAUGUUUUAAGUUUGAAAGAUGCAAUUGCAUCACCCAAAAAUGAUCCCGCGUUGUAUUAGCUAGUUGGUGAGGUAAAGGCUCACCAAAGCGAUGAUACAUAGCCGACCUGAGAGGGUGAUCGGCCACAUUGGGACUGAGACACGGCCCAAACUCCUACGGGAGGCAGCAGUAGGGAAUCUUCGGCAAUGGACGAAAGUCUGACCGAGCAACGCCGCGUGAGUGAAGAAGGUUUUCGGAUCGUAAAACUCUGUUGGUAGAGAAGAACGUUGGUGAGAGUGGAAAGCUCAUCAAGUGACGGUAACUACCCAGAAAGGGACGGCUAACUACGUG
rnacentral:rRNA from 1 species